UGUUACCUAGCUAGCAGCUAGCUAGCGAGCCAUUUUUCCUGGCUAUACUGAUAGGUUAAUUAGCCAGCUAGCUGCUAAAGGUUGCUGGAGUAGACAUUAAUACAUUUCGGAAUGGAUUAUUAUUGCAUUGCUUAUCUUUGCUAUGAUGUCUUAAUGUUCUCAUAUGAAAUAAUUUUGUGUUGUGCAUAAUGUUAAAAAACUCCAUAGGAGUAAUGUUAAACUAGCUACUGGUAGCUAGCUACAUUCUAAUGCAAAUGUGGUCCUAGCUCGGUAGCUUUCCUGUGGCAGGCCGAGUUAUUUGCGCAAGUCACAAUGUGAGACAUUUUGUUUAGCAGUGAUUUUAUUUUGAAAUGGCAGCUAGGAUUAGGCAUUUGGAAUAUUUCACUAUUGAAAUAUGGAUAUCCGGAUGGUCCAAAUAUAUAUAUUUUUUUGUGAAAACAUACAUUAGUAAUGACAUGUCUAUUUUAAAAUUGUUCUCGUCAGAACACGGAUAAAAGCAGGAAUCUCUCGUGCCAAGGCAAGCCUGGGAAAGAACUGAAAAAACACACUAAAGAGUCAAGACAGACACCAGAAAGAGGCCCAAGAAGACUUGGACGCAGGAUCAGAGGACAGCGAGGGAUGUUCAGAACUCACUCGGUUUGGAGAAUGACUUCUCAACCCAAGAGGCCCAAGAGCAGCUGUGAGAAAGCAUCAGUUUGGAAGCAUUUGGGAAAAUGUAAAGUGGUGAAGAAGGUUCCCGGCAAAGAGGAUUGCCUGUUUUGGGUCAGAGCCAGCUCUCAAAAACAGAACAUGGAAAGACAUAAAAACCUAGGUGCACAACACAAUGCAAACAGAAAAGGCCCUCCGCAGCCAGUAAAAGGCUAGCAUGCCACAAAGCUGAACCCAGCUGCGACCCGGAGACCCAUGGGUUGGCGCACAAUUGUCCCAGCGUCGUCCAGGUUAGGGGAGUGUUUUUCCGGCAGGGAUGUCCUUGUCCCAUUGCGCUCUAGCAACUCCUGUGGUGGGC